CCGUCCAUUAUCCCAAACAUUCUCUCUCAAAUCUCAAUUCAUUUAAAUUUUUCUCUCUCUCGCUCUUUCCCCUAAAAUAGUCUCCUCUCAAAUCCUUAGUUAUUUUUGGUAAACCCUAUUCUCGGUUGAUUGAGACCUAAGCAUCGAAAGACCAACUCAAUGAUUAAAUUAUCCUUGAGCAAGAGGAAUUUCGUAGCAGUAGCUGAAAGAGAAAUCGUCCAUGUCAACACGCAAAAGAACAUUGAAUCGCCCCAGUCUACAAAGUCUUCCAAAUCAUAAGGUAUACUAUAGGAUGAAGUCUUUUAAUACAUUAAUCUUGCUCAUAUUUAUAAAAUUGAAGGAUCAUGAAGAUCUCCAAGAAAGGAUGGAUCCAAGUCCAUGAACUCAACCAAACAUCUUUCAUAUAAUUUAGUAUCUCCAUUUGUAGUUGUAAAGCAAUGUAAUGUCUCAACAACUUAAAUACUAAUAUUUUGUUUAUGGUGUAUAUUUUAGAUGACAUUAGAUAUCUUAUUUGAACUUUCUUCUAUUUAAAUGUUUUUUGUAUUUAAACUUUAUGUAUUACGGAUAA